rfam:Parcubacteria bacterium GW2011_GWB1_44_7 TW71_C0009, whole genome shotgun sequence.
CGGGGUGUAGUAUAGUGGCAGUAUACACGUUUCGGGUACGUGAGGCGGGAGUUCAAUUCUCCCCACCCCGA